GUCUUUUUGAAUUAUAUAUAAAGUCUAACCUGCCCAUUGAAAAAUUUUUAAAAGGCUGCGGUAUUAUGACCGUACAAAGGUAGCAUAAUCAUUAGUUUUUUAAUUGAAAACUAGUAUGAAUGGUUGAAUGAAAAAUUAACUUUUUUAAUUAAAAUAUUGAAUUUUACUUUUUAUUUAAAAGGAUAAAAUAGAUUUAAAAGACGAGAAGACCCUAUAGAGUUUUAUAUUUAAUAUUAUCUUUUUUGAAAUGAUAAAUAUAAAUUUUAUAAUAUUAAUUAUUUUGUUGGGGUGAUAAUAAAAUUUGACAAACUUUUAGUAAUUUAACCAUUAAUAUAUGAAUAAAUGAUCCAAUAUUAUUGAUUAAAAAUUUAAAUUACCUUAGGGAUAACAGCGUAAUUUUUUUUUAAGUUCAUAUUAAUAAAAAAUUUUGCGACCUCGAUGUUGGAUUAAGAUUUAAUUUUAGGUGCAGCAGUUUAAAAUUUAAGUCUGUUCGACUUUUAAAUUCUU
rnacentral:rRNA from 2 species